CCAUGUUCUCAGGGCGGGGUGGAAUUCCCCACCGGCGGUAAGGGCGCCCCCCGGUCGGGGUGCCCAAGCCCGCGAGCGCCUUGCCUGAUCUUGCGAUCGGGCAAGGGUCAGCAGAUUCGGUGCGACUCCGAGGCCGACGGUUACAGUCCGGAUGAAAGAGAACGGGU
rnacentral:ncRNA from 2 species